rnacentral:rRNA from 1 species
CGCAGCCGCGGUAAUUCCAGCUCCAAUAGCGUAUAUUAAAGUUGUUGCAGUUAAAAAGCUCGUAGUUGAAUUUCGGGAUCGACGGGUCGGUCGCGCCUCUGGUGUGCACUGGCCCUGUCGGUUUCUCCCUUCUGACGAACCACGAUGUCAUUAAUUUGGUGUCGUGGGAAAUCAGGACUGUUACUUUGAAAAAUUAGAGUGUUUAAAGCAGGCAUUCGCUUGAAUACAUUAGCAUGGAAUAAUGAAAUAGGACGUUUGAUCUUAUUUUGUUGGUUUCUAAGAUCGACGUAAUGAUUAAUAGGGAUAGUUGGGGGCAUUAGUAUUCAAUUGUCAGAGGUGAAAUUCUUGGAUUUAUUGAAGACUAACUACUGCGAAAGCAUUUGCCAAGGAUGUUUUCAUUAAUCAAGAACGAAAGUUAGGGGAUCGAAGACGAUCAGAUACCGUCGUAGU